GUUUUAAUAAUUUAAAUAAAAUAUUGGUCUUGUAAAUCAAAAAUAAAUUCUUUUUUAAAGCU
rnacentral:tRNA from 1 species